rnacentral:rRNA from 1 species
UACGGGGGGAGCAAGCGUUGUUCGGAUUUACUGGGCGUAAAGGGCGCGUAGGCGGUCGUGACAGGUCACUUGUGAAAUCUCCGGGCUUAACUCGGAACGGUCAAGUGAUACUGUCGGACUAGAGUACAGAAGGGGCAACUGGAAUUCUCGGUGUAGCGGUGAAAUGCGCAGAUAUCGAGAGGAACACCUGCGGCGAAGGCGGGUUGCUGGGCUGAUACUGACGCUGAGGCGCGAAAGCCAGGGGAGCGAACGGG